CAUAGCCUAAGGAAGUAAAAUAUAGUAGUAGUAUAUUGUUUUCUUUUUGUGAGAUUGAGGGAGGAAAAAUGGGAUUUUCUUGUGCUAUUUUCUUGGAAUAUUACUUUGUCUCAUAAAUAAUACAGCAACUCUAUGCAGAGGAGGAAUCACUAGCAGUUAUGUUAGGAAGGUGGAGAGCAGUGAGGAUAUAUGCCUUUUGAUAGUGAUGUUUUUAAAGUCCCUCAUGGCUACAAUGCACCUCAACAGGUUCAUUUAACACAAGGGGAUCAUGAGGGCAAAGGAAUGAUUGUUUCAUGGAUGACAAUGGAUGAACCUGGCUCAAAUACAGUCGAAAGCUAAUAGCAAGAUGAAACAAAAGGCAGAAGGAACUGUUACUAGCUACAAAUACCAUACGUAUACUUCUGGCUACAUUCAUCAUUGCAGCAUCCAAAACUUGGAGUAGUAUAACACCAAAUAUUACUACAUGGUUGGAAUUGGACACACAACCCGAACUUUUUGGUUUGUUACUCCUCCACCAGUUGGACCCAACGUGCCAUAUACAUUUGGUCUUAUAGGGGAUCUUGGACAGACAUAUGACUCAAACAUGACACUCACUCACUAUGAAAUGAAUCCAACGAAAGGACAAACGGUUUUAUUUGUUGGAGAUCUGUCUUACGCAGAUAAGUAUCCAAAUUAUGACAAUAAUAGAUGGGACACUUGGGGUAGAUUUGUUGAGAGAAGCAAUACUUAUCAACCUUGGAUUUGGACUGCUGGUAAUCAUGAUGUUGAUUUUGCACCUGAAAUCGUAAGUUCUUCCCAUAAGCAAUUUCAAUUCAGUCUUCAUUAAACAUGAUGAUAUUCUCGUACACUACUAUCUUUUCGGGGGAUGAGAGCACUUUAUUUCUUUAAUAAUAGUACGUCUAUUUGGUGUGAAUUUAUAACUGUUUGUGCAUUCUAGAGACAUUGCACUUAACUUGAUCAUACCUGUUUGUGCAUCUUGUGUUCCAAACUUCCCAGCAUAUACAAUAACUGGUGUGAUAUACACCUUUCGAUUUCACUCCUUAUAUGAACUGAAAAUGAUAAAUAUAUGCAUGUGUUUAUUAAGUUUGCAAUCAUAUAUUGGACAAAAUAGAAAUUUGUUCUGAUAUCCCCAAGUUUAUUACUGUACUAAACAACACUUCUCACUCACUAAAUCAAAAUUCUUGAGUUCCUAAUUUCUUUUUGUGUCUCAAAGUGUGUAGAAUUAUCACACGUUUGUCUUUUUACAAAUUAAAUUAAUAUAUGUAGUAAGUAUUAUGUUUGUGGCUUCAUCAAUGUAUUUGUAUUAAUUUCAUUGAAAAAUAAUAUGAGUUUGAAGACGUGCCGUGAGUUUUCUUCCUCACGAGGGUUUCCAACGUAAAAAUUAUGCGUUCUUUUUUUUUUUUUGUUAUUAUUGAUUUCAUUAGUCGUGGUCUACUUGUCUCAUAACCACAAGAUGCUUAUGUAUAUAUAUUGCAGAGUGAACCAGAACCAUUUAAGCCAUAUACUCAUAGAUAUUAUCCUGUCCCUUACAAAGUAUCAGGAAGUAGUUCUCCUUUAAUUUGUGGUACUCAAUCAAGAGAGCUUCUGCAUAUAUCAUCGUUUUAUCAACAUACUCCGCAACUUGUAAGCCAUCAUGCACAUACUCAGUUAUGCAUUAUGUAUAUAAAAAAAAAAUCGAGUUUACCGUAUAACCAGUCUCUCUAUCUGUCAAGGUAAGGGCAAGGUCUCUGUUAUGAAUUGGCCUAGACCUGUAUUGGCAAAACAGCCCAAGACGUCAAUGUGUGGGGUGGGAUCCGGGUUGAUAAAUAGCACUUGUGGGAGCAAAAUAGGUUAUGCAAAUGGUGAUAAUUGCUUAGGCAAAGUCUUAUGUUUCUCAUCCCAAUUCUUUCUAAUCCUCUCAUCCCCUUCUACUACUAUUCAUGUUCUUUCAUUCCCUAGCUUGUCUAUUAAUCAAAGUUUAUUUGUUUCGUUCACUCCGUGUAUUGAUUGUUGAGUUGAGAAUUCGGGUUCGUUAUAGUCUCUGUACACUCUGCCACUCCCAAAACACCACUUAUAGGACUAUAUUGAGUAUUUAAUUUGUUGUUGUUGUUACUAACAUAUAUUCUUGAUCACUCCAAUUAGCAAAAUAUACUCCUCAGUACAAGUGGCUGGAGGCAGAGCUGAAAAAAGUGAAUAGAGAGGAAAUUAAACUCCAUGGCUAAUAGUUCUUAUGCAUUGUCCAUGGUACAACAGCUACGAAUAUCACUAUAUGGAAGAGGAAACUAUGAGAGUAAUAUAUAUAUAUAUAUAUAUAUAUAUAUAUAUAUAUAUAUAUUAGCCUUGGUUUGUAAAUGCCAAAGUUGAUAUUGUUUUUGCGGGUCAUGUUCACGCCUAUCAACGAUCGAAACGUAUAUCAAAUAUUGAGUACAAACUUAUAAAUGGGAAAUGUACUCCUCUGAACAACCCGUCUGCACCUGUCUACAUAACCGUUGGUGAUGGAGGAAAUAUUGAAGGCCUUACUACACAGUAAGAUUAAUUAAUUGCUUAAUAUUUUUCUGAAAGUUCUGAUUAAUGUCCAAAAUAAAUAAUUUUAUACUGUAUAUAAAAGUAUUGGAAUAUAAAUUGAUAGCUGGGUGUGACGGAGCCACAACCUAACUACUCAGCCUAUCGUGAAUCAAGUUUUGGACAUGCUAUACUGGACAUUAAGAAUCGAACUCACGCUUGUUAUAGUUGGCAUCGUAAUAAGGAUGGUUUUUCUGCAAAAGCUAAUAGCUUCUUGUUCUUCAAUCGUUAUUUCCACCCAGUUGAUGAAUCUUAUUAAGUUUCCAUGCCACUCAAAAAUUUUAUUCUGGGUUUAGAAGUUAAUUUCCUUUAUUUUAUCCUGUGUUAAGACCUAAAAAGAUUUGGAUUUUAUGUAUCAUUGUAAUAAUAUUCCAGCCUCCCUGGCGAUUACUGGAAUUAAUAUGUGUAUUGUCAAUUUAUAUUGGUGAAGAUGUAUAAGCAAAUACUCGUUGUUAUCUGUAGAGUUAUUUAUUGUUAAAGAGUUAACCAAAAAAAAAAAUUAUUGGGAAA